rnacentral:miRNA from 1 species
UGAGAUCACUGCGAAAGCUGAU